GGGUUGAUCUCUUUAGGGGAUCGGCCUCCUUGGAACUCUAUAGGGGUUCCUCCCUCCAAGUGUUGCUCAAAGGCUGCAGAAAAGUUUCAUCUAUUGCUUAUCAAAAGAGAACGAAUACAUGGCUAUUUAUAGGGCUUCUAAACCCUAACUCCUAAUAGGACUCCUACUUAAGACUCUUACUUCUAACCAACUCCUAAUAGGACUCCU
rnacentral:lncRNA from 1 species